rnacentral:rRNA from 1 species
GACGAACGCUGGCGGCGUGCUUAACACAUGCAAGUCGAACGAAGUGGCGAACGGGUGAGUAACGCGUAAUCAACCUGCCCUUCAGAGGGGGACAACAGUUGGAAACGAAUGCUAAUCCCGCAUACUGAAGGAGGGGAGUGCGUCCCAUUCGCUAGUGGGAGAGGUAACGGCUCACCAAGGCGAUGAUGGGUAGCCGGCCUGAGAGUGUGAUCGGCCACAAGGGGACUGGGACACGGCCCUUACGCCUACUGGAGGCAGCAGUGGGGAAUAUUGGACAAUGGGCCAAAGUCUGAUCCAGCAAUUCGGUGUGCACGAUGAAGUUUUUCGGAAUGUAAAGUGCUUUCAGUUGGGAAGCGGUACCAACAGAAGAAGUGACGGCUAAAUACGUGCCAGCAGCCGCGGUAAUAC